CCUCUUUUUCCACAGCCAACCAUCCCGCCGCCGCCCCUUGUCCUCCACCGAGCUACCAAGCCGCCGCCACACCACUCCACCUACGUUACUUCCCCCACGCAGCUAGCGGCAGCCGCCGCACGCCAGAUCUGCUCGACCCAUGUCUGGUUGAACGAACGCGAGGCCUCCAUGCUCCGUCUUCCAUACGGCCCCCGAGCCUAGAUCUAGACCCGACGGACCUUCAGCCUCAUGUUCCUCUCGGAGCUCCUCCCGUUCCUUCCUCACCACUGAGUCAUGGAUUCCGUCGAAGACCGCUGCCCCACCUUCGCCAUGCACCUUGCCGAUCCCUACCCUGGAUCUGAUGCCGACGCUUGCCGAGGACCGCCCCCUUCAGAUCUGUCGCACCUGCACAUCCCUGCCUUGCUUGCUACGCCCCAUCGCUAGAUCUGCGAGCCCCCAUCGUCAAGCAUCAUUUCCAGCGGUCACUGUCUCGCAUCUUCAUCAAGUUCGAUGGGAUCCCAUGCUCACAGCCCAUUCCUGUCGGCUCUGGUGGGCCGCCUCGACAAACCGGCUGGCUUCCGACCCGAGGGUGGGGGAUUUGGUCAAUGCACACGGGAGUUUGAUGCUUUCUUCUUUCUAAGCUCGAUAUAAAUGAGCUACUCAGAGAGCUCACGCAUGAUGCAUUGCCGUGUCCUCGGUUCUGAGUGGUUGACCAUCUACUUUGCAUUGUGUAGUCACAUGUGUCCCAAUUCAUAUGGCUAUCAGUCGCCACAACAAGGCCAUAAAAGUGAACACUACUCAACCCAGAAACAAACGAACAAACACUGUUGAUGGCAAAUAAUAUAUGACUCAUAUAGUCAUAUUGCGUAAAGUAGUCGGCGCGACGUGUAGGAACUACAGAGCUGGGCCGGCCCAUUAAUGCUUGG